ACGUAAUAGAUACCCGGGUAGUCCAUGCCCUAAACGAUGUCUACUAGUUGUUGGUGGAGUAAAAUCCAUGAGUAAACGCAGCUAAACGCGUGAAGUAGGCCGCCUGGGGAGUACGGUCGCAAGAUUAAAACUCAAAGGAAUUGACGGGGGCCCGGCACAAGCGGUGGAUUAUGUGGAUUAAAUUCGAUGCAACGCGAAAAACCUUAACCUGGCCUUGACAUGCCACUAACGAAGCAGAGAUGCAUUAGGUGCCCGUAACGGGAAAGUGGACACAGGUGCUGCAUGGCUGUCGUCAGCUCGUGUCGUGAGAUGUUGGGUUAAGUCCCGCAACGAGCGCAACCCUUGCCAUUAAUUGCCAUCA
rnacentral:rRNA from 1 species